rnacentral:rRNA from 1 species
GAUGAACGCUGGCGGCGUGCUUAACACAUGCAGGUCGAACGGAAAGGCCAGUGCUUGCACUGGUGCUCGAGUGGCGAACGGGUGAGUAACACGUGGGUGAUCUGCCCUGCACUUUGGGAUAAGCCUGGGAAACUGGGUCUAAUACCAGAUAGGACCAUGCUUUGGAUGGUGUGGUGGAAAGUUUUUUCGGUGUGGGAUGAGCUUGCGGCCUAUCAGCUUGUUGGUGGGGUAAUGGCCUACCAAGGCGUCGACGGGUAGCCGGCCUGAGAGGGUGUACGGCCACAUUGGGACUGAGAUACGGCCCAGACUCCUACGGGAGGCAGCAGUGGGGAAUAUUGCACAAUGGGCGCAAGCCUGAUGCAGCGACGCCGCGUGGGGGAUGACGGCCUUCGGGUUGUAAACUCCUUUCGCAACUGACGAAGCUUUUUGUGACGGUAGGUUGAGAAGAAGCACCGGCUAACUACGUG